UACGGGGGGGGCUAGCGUUACUUGGAUUAAAUGGGCGUAAAGGAUGCGUAGGCAAGUCCGAUGAGGUAAACUAAAAGUCCAGUAUUAAUAUUGGAAGGGUUUAUUAGUUGUUGGAUAAUUGAGUUUAGUAGAGGUUGGGGGAAUUCUCGGUGGAGGGGUACAAUGCUUCGAUAUCGACAGGAACACCAAGGCGCAGGCACCUUUCCAGACUAGACUGACGUUGAGGCAUGAAGGUGUGGGGAUCAAA
rnacentral:rRNA from 1 species